rnacentral:tRNA from 1 species
GCCCGGGUGGCGGAAUUGGUAGACGCGCAAGGUUGAGGGCCUUGUGUCCUUCAUUGGACGUGCAGGUUCAACUCCUGUUCCGGGCA